GAAACCCUAGCCGCCAGUCGCUCCCGCGGCCGCCAACCAUGGCGCCCCUGCCCCUUCCCGCUCACCCGCCCAUCGCGCCCUACCCCUUCCUGCUCAUCUGCUCCUUUCCCCAUCACCCCAUCUCCUCAGCCAUGCCGGUCGACCUCGCGGAGGAGCAUGGGUCAACCCCAUCGCGCCGCACAAAGCCAUCCGCUAGGAGGAGGAUGUAGGGGAUCAACCACUGCAGCUCCGCCAUCGAGCCCUCUCAUCCGUUGAUCUUGGGUCGUCAUCAGCGCAGGCCGCCGCUCGGACCACAUGUGCCCUUAAACAAGCAACCAUGUCAUUGUUGUUCUCAGAACCGUAGAUGGAUACACUCAUGGCAAGGGUUUGGGUGAUUGAUGCUGCAGCAGAUGGAACAAAAGUGGUUGGGCCUCUGAUGCGAUGUGCUCAACCCUGGUUCGUCAAGGAGGAUGCGCGCAACACCAUGAAGAAGGCGACUCUGCGUGUAUGUGGUAAUGUUUGUAUUUUUGAGGAAGAAAAAAAUGUUCUAAAUAAUAUUGGGUCAAAAUCUUGCUGUUCGAGAAGGUUUUGGUUGGACCUUUUUGAAUUUUAAGAUAUUUCUUUUUGUUCAGAGUUUCAUGCAAGCAUCUGAUGGAUUUCCUCGUAGCUCUGGAAAUGUACCCCAUAUAAUCAUCUAUCUCAUUUAUAAGGUCGACCAAUUGUUUUUUGGAACUAUCACUUACCAUGGUCCUGAUUUUUGAUUUAGUUUUUCUUUGGAAUCUGCAAAGUGGAAAUCUAUUGGAGCACUUGAAGGAGCAUACAGGGUAGAUAAGGUCACCUCGCAAUGCCCUCCCAAGAUGAUGCCAAAGAAACUAGGCCAAUUAAGUGUUGUUCCUCGGUGAGAUGAUGCGUUAAGAAGGAAAGCUAAACAUGUCAACUGAAGGGAAGAAACAGAGGGAAAGCUUGAAGGCAUUUUAUCGAGGAAAUCCGCAUGCUCCAAUGCACAAUCAAGGUUUUUAAUUAAUUGUGUUCGCUUCAUCUGCUCCUAUGAGAUCAGAUGUUUUCUGAUUUGUGUAGACAAUGAGCUUAAACUGUUUGGUAUCUUCACCAUAUAGAUUUCUCAGAAAUGUGAGGAUUCAAUGUGUUGAAGGAAAAAUGGAUAUUCUUGAAUAUGCUAAAAUGGUGGCAAGAUUGUGUUGUUGAUGCCAUUGCAAAGGCUGAGUGAAGGUGUGGCGUAGGUUCCUAGACUGACGGUGAUGAUCCAGAAUAUCCAGCGGAUCUGUGAACUGUGAGGCUACCAUGGGCAUCGGCAAGGUGGAGCUUCUCUCAUGUGUCCUGGUGCCCGCCGAUUGUUUUUCUUUUCUAGCGGCGGGGCUUCUCUUCUUCUGCUUUUGAUUGGUGUUCCUGCAGCCACCGCCUCACCAGCUGGCACUCAACAGAGCAGCUGCCAACAACAUAGGUCUCAGCAGCUCAGGAGAGUGAACAAAUCACACAGAGAAUAUAGAAGAAACUCGGCAUCAAUUCCUGUAGAUAUGCAGAAUUAGAGAGUGAGAUAGAUGCAAGUGAAGAAAGAAACAUUAAUUCCGAUGUUAUUAGAGAGGUAGCACAUCAGCGGGUGGACCUUUUUUGAGCAGCAACUGGACGGGCAGGGUUGCAGCUACUGUCCUCAAGAAUGGCGUGGUGGCACAUCCAGCUCGAGUUUUGGAGAUUCAUUUCUGCAGGCGGGUAAUCCUCAUCUUCUGGUGCUUCGUGGCUCGACCGAGCAUGAGCAAAGUCAGAUGGGCAUCGGGCAUCGGCGGGACAUGCCGGUGGUGUGAAGAAUCGGCGGUGCAUGCCAUGAAUAGCAUUGCAGUGUGCUCCCCUGCAUCGAUUGAUACUCACUUGGCUGGAAUUGAGGAGAGGUGGUGGCAGUAGUGUCCCGGGAGAGAAAUAAAAAAGGGGAUCAGACUCAGAGGACGAGAGGUGGUGGGCUGGUGGCAGUAGUGUCACGGGAGAGAAAGCAAAAAGGGGAUCAGACUGAGAGGACGACAAGUGGUGGCAGUAGUCGGAUGUGUCCAACUCUGGUGUGCUGGCGUGGUUCGGGCCCUGGCGUGAGAGGACGAGAGGUUAGGAGUCAGUACCGUGUUACUUAGUAUACACUAAGUGGAUGUGAUUGUUGUUUCCUUCCUUAGUUAAAUAUGAAACAACAAUAUUAAAACUCAAACAAAAGGCUAGACCAUAACCUAUAAAGUUAUAUCUCAAAGCAUACUUUUGUAAUAUCUUAGAAAUAUAUUAUCACAGUGGCAGCUAUUUUUUUAUUGUUGUUAUACAAAAUAAAAAUUGACGCGAGCUCCA